rnacentral:rRNA from 1 species
AUUGAACGCUGGCGGCAGGCCUAACACAUGCAAGUCGAGCGGCAGCGGAAAGUAGUUUGCUACUUUGCCGGCGAGCGGCGGACGGGUGAGUAAUGUCUGGGAAACUGCCUGAUGGAGGGGGAUUACUACUGGAAACGGUAGCUAAUACCGCAUAACGUCGCAAGACCAACGAGGGGGACCUUCGGGCCUCUUGCCAUCAGAUGUGCCCAGAUGGGAUUAGCUAGUAGGUGGGGUAACGGCUCACCUAGGCGACGUUCCCUAGCUGUGGUGAGAGGAUGACCAGCCACACUGGAACUGAGACACGGGCCAGACUCCUGCGGGAGGCAGCAGUGGGGAAUAUUGCACAAUGGGCGCAAGCCUGAUGCAGCCAUGCCGCGUGUAUGAAGAAGGCCUUCGGGUUGUAAAGUACUUUCAGCGGGGAGGAAGGUGUUGAGGUUAAUAACCUCAGCAAUUGACGUUACCCGCAGAAGAAGCACCGGCUAACUCCGUGCCAGCCGCCGCAGUAA